UGCUGGCAUCUGGAUCUUGAACCUGUCCUCCUGAGACAUGUGAGAGGACAGACGUCUACUGCCUAAACCACCCAGUCUGCGCUGUUUGUUGUGGCCACCAGAGCUGACAGAGACCACGUGGCAGACACGAGAGAAGCUUCUCUGCAGCCUGGCAGCUCUGCCAGCUACAAGAGCAUCCAGACAGCACCAACCAGCGAGUCCUCUGGAUAUGUAACACUGGGAGGAGAGUCUGAAAGAAAAAAGCUGACUACAAGUCUGGGUUAUUUUAUUUAUUUAUUUUUGGCUUCCUGAAUGACAAAGUCUUCACCAAAAUGAAAGAGAAAAUAAAUGCAUGCCAGAAUGAAAUGUA